CAGCAGUGGUGUGGGCCCAUAGAUUUAUUCCAAUUUGAGGUUCAACAGAACUCACAAUCCAACUCAUCACUUUUGCAUUGUUUUUCUGCCAUUGUUUUACUUCUUUUUCAUUUCCUUUAUCUUCCCUAGGUUGGCCUUCACUUCCAUCAACAAAACCUCAAAGUUCUUGACCCAUAAUGAAACAUCUUAAAUGAAACUCGCACAAAAAAUAGUUUUUUCCAUUAAAGCAUACAGGAAUUGCAGCAGUUUUGGUGUUGGNNNNNNNNNNNNNNNNNNNNUUGGCCUUCACUUCCAUCAACAAAACCUCAAAGUUCUUGACCCAUAAUGAAACAUCUUAAAUGAAACUCGCACAAAAAAUAGUUUUUUCCAUUAAAGCAUACAGGAAUUGCAGCAGUUUUGGUGUUGGUAUCCAUUAGGAACAGAGAUUUCGAAAGCUAGAGAGAUCAAAACAGAAAUAGUCAACAAACCUGACAGAAGUUUCUCAGAAAAAAAUACCAGACCUUAGAUUCCCACGAUCUCAAGAUGCUGCAGAAGAAUCCUUGAAUGAGGGCAGCGGACUCCAGAAAGCCCUCUAGAUGAGGGCGGCAGUUUCAGAAGCCCUUGGCUCUGAUACCAUGACAAAAACACAAGAACAAGAAUAGAGAGAUGGUUUGGAAUGCCAAAUUUGCCCUGUCCUCCUUGGGAUCAGAGAGCUUCCUUAUAUAGAUCUUCAAUAGAGAAAAAUAUAUUAAUACAGUCUAUACCAACAACUAUACAAAACAGGAUAAUCAAUAAUAUUCUACAGCCCCGA
rnacentral:lncRNA from 1 species